GCUUACGCCAUACCACCCUGAACACGCCGAUCUCGUCUGAUCUCGGAAGCUAAGCAGGGUCGGGCUGGUCAGUACUUGGAUGGGAGACCGCCUGGGAAUACCAGGUGCUGUAAGCU
rnacentral:rRNA from 1 species